GAGUAUCAAUUGGAGGGCAAGUCUGGUGCCAGCAGCCGCGGUAAUUCCAGCUCCAAUAGCGUAUAUUAAAAUUGUUGCAGUUAAAAAGCUCGUAGUUGAAUUUCUGCUGCAUCGCCUUUUCUCCUUUACGAGUUUUGGCAUUGUGGCUUAUUUCGGAUUUGCUUGCAUUUCCGAAUGUUUACUUUGAGAAAAUUAGAGUGCUCAAAGCAGGCUUUUGCCUUGAAUAGUUUAGCAUGGAAUAAUAAAGUAGGACUUUGGUUCUAUUUUGUUGGUUUUAGGUACCAAAGUAAUGGUUAAUAGGAACAGUUGGGGGCAUUCGUAUUUAACUGUCAGAGGUGAAAUUCUUAGAUUUGUUAAAGACGAACUACUGCGAAAGCAUUUGCCAAGGAUGUUUUCAUUAAUCAAGA
rnacentral:rRNA from 1 species